GAGUUUGAUCUUGGCUCAGGACGAACGCUGGCGGCGUGCUUAACACAUGCAAGUCACGGGGGGUAGCAAUACCAACCGGCGAACGGGUGCGUAACACGUGAGCAACCUACCGAUUUGAGGGGGAUAGCUGCCCUAACGGGCAGGUAAUACCGCAUACGCUUUUCUGGUCACCUGACCGGGAAAGGAAACCUCCGGGGCAGAUCGAGGGGCUCGCGGCCUAUCAGCUAGUUGGCGAGGUAACGGCUCACCAAGGCGACGACGGGUAGCUGGUCUGAGAGGAUGGCCAGCCACAUUGGGACUGAGAAACGGCCCAGACUCCUACGGGAGGCAGCAGUGGGGAAUCUUGCGCAAUGGGCGAAAGCCUGACGCAGCGACGCCGCGUGGGGGAUGAAGGUUUUCGGAUCGUAAACCCCUGUUGCCCGGGACGAACUUCUCCUUUUCGAGGAGAUUGACGGUACCGGGUGAGGAAGCACCGGCUAACUCUGUGCCAGCCGCCGCCGUAAG
rnacentral:rRNA from 1 species